rnacentral:rRNA from 2 species
UACCAGCACCCCGAGUGGUCGGGACGUUUAUUGGGCCUAAAGCAUCCGUAGCCGGUUCUGCAAGUCUUCCGUUAAAUCCACCUGCUUAACAGAUGGGCUGCGGAAGAUACUAUAGAGCUAGGAGGCGGGAGAGGCAAGCGGUACUCGAUGGGUAGGGGUAAAAUCCGUUGAUCCAUUGAAGACCACCAGUGGCGAAGGCGGCUUGCCAGAACGCGCUCGACGGUGAGGGAUGAAAGCUGGGGGAGCAAACCGG